AUAGCUCCAGCUUGCUGGAGUGGAUUAGUGGCGAACGGGUGAGUAACACGUGAGCAACCUGCCCCUGACUCUGGGAUAAGCGCUGGAAACGGCGUCUAAUACCGGAUAUGCACUGUAGCCGCAUGGUUUGCAGUGGGAAAGAUUUAUCGGUUGGGGAUGGGCUCGCGGCCUAUCAGCUUGUUGGUGAGGUAAUGGCUCACCAAGGCGUCGACGGGUAGCCGGCCUGAGAGGGUGACCGGCCACACUGGGACUGAGACACGGCCCAGACUCCUACGGGAGGCAGCAGUGGGGAAUAUUGCACAAUGGGCGCAAGCCUGAUGCAGCAACGCCGCGUGAGGGAUGACGGCCUUCGGGUUGUAAACCUCUUUUAGCAGGGAAGAAGCCUUCGGGUGACGGUACCUGCAGAAAAAGCGCCGGCUAACUACGUGCCAGCAGCCGCGGUAAUACGUAGGGCGCAAGCGUUAUCCGGAAUUAUUGGGCGUAAAGAGCUCGUAGGCGGUUUGUCGCGUCUGCUGUGAAAUCUGGAGGCUCAACCUCCAGCCUGCAGUGGGUACGGGCAGACUAGAGUGCGGUAGGGGAGAUUGGAAUUCCUGGUGUAGCGGUGGAAUGCGCAGAUAUCAGGAGGAACACCGAUGGCGAAGGCAGAUCUCUGGGCCGUUACUGACGCUGAGGAGCGAAAGGGUGGGGAGCAAACAGGCUUAGAUACCCUGGUAGUCCACCCCGUAAACGUUGGGAACUAGUUGUGGGGGCCUUUCCACGGUCUCUGUGACGCAGCUAACGCAUUAAGUUCCCCGCCUGGGGAGUACGGCCGCAAGGCUAAAACUCAAAGGAAUUGACGGGGACCCGCACAAGCGGCGGAGCAUGCGGAUUAAUUCGAUGCAACGCGAAGAACCUUACCAAGGCUUGACAUAUUCGAGAACACUGCAGAAAUGUAGGACUCUUUGGACACUCGUAUACAGGUGGUGCAUGGUUGUCGUCAGCUCGUGUCGUGAGA
rnacentral:rRNA from 1 species